rnacentral:lncRNA from 1 species
UUCCUCGUAGUCACCACACCUUUGUGAUUCCUGAACCUGGAGGGGCGCAAAACCAAAAUUGAGUGGGUCAGUAAAACAAUUCUUUUCCAAAUCCAAACAUUUCUCAAAACGUUGUAACCCCUCUCCGUAAAACCUGUAUACUUUCCCAGAAAUGUAAAAUAUAAAUAUACAUAUAUAUUCUCAAAACUUCAUUUUUACUAUCUCAACAUUAUCUCUUUAUCAAUCAUGCCAUGCCAUGUCAUCUCAACAUUUCUCAUAUUAAUUAUGCCAUGCCACAUCAUCUCAACAGUAAUAAGGUAUGAAUGCAUCAACAUAAUCAUAUCAGGUGCAAGAAAGUAAUCAACCGUAGGCCCUCUAAUAGCCCUAUACGGUUGAACCUAGAGCUCAAAAUCUAUCAUUAUCACUCUACCGGAGUCACCUCUGUGACCCGUCCGGCCUUCUGCACACAAGUUACGCUCUAGUGCUUCUCAUAAAUCAUUUGUGCACAUAAUCUAAGGUCACCCACCAGUCGGAAUCUCACUAACACUCUCGCGACUGGUCUGUCGUACCCACUCCGCGUGGACUGUACGACUAGCAUCUACUUGGAUCCAAGGCGAGCGUGCGAUGCGGUGAAUACUAUAAGCACUAAACCAUGGUGCAGGAUUUGAGCUCAAUAUAUAUCAUCAUCAUCAUAACAGUAAUUAAAUACUCACCUGUGCGUCCACCGCACCAUUUCAUACAUAUGCAUCAUAAAUCAAUUCUUACCUGUGCGUCCACCGCACCAAUUCAUACAUAUGCAUCAUAUAUUAAUUCAUGCAUGGCAUUUCAACUCACAUUUCUAUAUACUUUUCAUAUCAAUUCUAUGCAUGGUAUUUCACUUCCCGUUUUUCCACAUAACUCAUAUGCAUUUCAUUUUAAACAUAAUUCAUGCAUUUUCAAUUUCUGGGAAAACGUUAAGUAUAUAUAUAUAUACGGAAAACAAAACUGCCCACUCACCUGGAGUUCGUCCAACAACUCCCUAGCACCACACAUCAAGGCGUCACGACGAUCGCCGCCUAGAAUAGUAAUCAAAUCCAACCUCAGAAUUCAUAUCGAUAGAAUAUAUAACUUAUAUAAAAUACGUCACUAUGUAGUUCGAUCCGGAAGAUCUGCCACUCAGAUUUUAAAUCCAUAACUUCCAGAGGUCCACAAUAUAUCUCUAGGAUAACAUCCUAAAAUUUCAUUACCAUCCAACGGUCGGAUCUCCGUCAAUUUCCAAAACUAAGUGACGGUUAACAUUUUAUAUUAUGGACUUACAAUUCCAAUUCCGGAAGAUCCGUAACUCGAAUUCCCAAUCCGUAAGUUCCAAUAAUCCUCAAAUAUUACGUAUUACAACGUAUCAAAGUUUGGUGACGAUCCAACGGUCGGAUCAUCAAUUCACAUUUUCACCUAAAUGUGAAAACUAUAAAACGUUAUUUGAACACCUAACCAACAAUCCUCAAUAACUUUCUCAUACGGUGUUCAAUUUAGGUAUAUAAAUAUACCACAAUGAUCUACUCGACGUCACGGACGUCGACAUAUUUUUAAAAUAAUUUUAUUUUUAUUUUUUUAUUUUUACUGUAGCACCUUCUUCUUCCUUGGGUCGCCGGACUGGUUUUUCCGGCGGCCGUUUUCCGGGCAGUUUUUCAAAUUGCCAUAACUUUGUCAUUUCUCAACGAAAUCAAGUGAUUCAAAAACGAAAGUUGUAGCCCUUGAAGAGACAAAGAGAAUGGUACCUUUCACAACACCUAGUUCGCCGUGGUUUGGCCGGAAACUGCCUCGAAAGCCUCGGAGGUCGCCGGAAACUGGGUAUUUUUCAAAUGAGUAUAACUUCUUCAAUACUCAACGAAAUUGAGUGAAACAAAAAGGAAAGUUGUAGUACUUGACGAGACGAAGAGAUUGAUACCUACCUCGACUCCUAACUCGCCGGGUAUUCUCCGGAAAACACCUCGAAAGCUCCGGCCAAACUUUGAACUUGUCGAUCUCCGUGUUCUUACGUCCAAAAACUUCCAACGAAGCACUCCGAGCUUCCUUGGGACCUCACUAAGCUUGCUAUGAUCUUAUUUUGGCCUAAAACACAACCACUUCAAAGAUCAUGAAUAGUACACAUUCACGGGGUCUUUAGAACUAGGGUUUUUCGAAAUGAAACUUACCUGAAAAUGGUACCUACGUGAUCGUGAAGUCCUCAGGGUUGCAAUGGUAGUCUUAACUUGGACGUUGGUAUAGGUUUUAGGUGGUUUUGGUGGUUUUGGUGGUUGCCCGUGCGUUCGAGAAGAAGAGAGAGAAUGAGAGUUUCUGAGGAAGAGCUGAGGAAGAGAGAGAGUAUGAAGGACAGUAUACGGGAAAUGGGGAGGGUUUUGAGGUGUGGGGAUCCCACAUGUCCAAACCAAUCCCAAUUUCAUAAAAUUCCAUCAUAAAAUUUAAGUCUAAGUCUCCACUCCAAUUACCAAAUUUUUUUGGAGCUUAGAUAUAACGAACGUGAAAAUUAUACCUUAGUCACAUAUUAGGGACAUUUCCGUAAUUUCAUGUCCUCGGAAUUAAAAAUUCCGGCACGGGCUGUGACAAUCUCCCCUCCUUAUAGAAUUUCGUCCCCGAAAUUCCAGCAACCAACCAAAUCAUCUAUACUCAUACAAUAGCCUCGGAUAAAUCUCUCUCAUCCGAUUCUCUUUCUCCCACACAAUUUUCUACUGAAUGAUUUCCUUCACAAAGCUUUUACUACUUACUCUGUCUUAAUUCUUAGGACCUUCUUUUUCCAAUUCAAAGUCGACAUUAGUUCCUCACCAAUCAGAUCCGGCUUAAUUCUCAAUAGUUGCACCAAAGUCCCAUGUAACGACUCUGCCACUUAGUGACAACGCAUCGAACACAAAAUACAUUAUGUGCCUUAGCCAAUUCUGAAGGCAUCACAAACUUGUAUGCAACUUUAUUGAUUCCUUUAGUAAAAAAAAAAAUGGUCUGAUGUGUCUAAAUCUUAUCUUGUCUCUUUUCCAAUUUUUCAUUCUCGUCAUUUCUGUUCGCGGUGAAUUUUCCAAAAAUAUCAAACCAUUUACCUUACACACUCGAUUAGUGGCAUAUCCAUCUGUUGAUCUCUUUUGCCAUUCCUGGUUACUUCAGGUUAACUUAAUCACCUGAAUACUUUGAGGAAACUCAUCCAUAGUCUCAGGGUCUACUAAAACUCUUUCUUGAUCGAAUCCUUCUCUACCCAGAAACAUUCCAUUCACAAAGUCAUCAAAAACCGACUCACAUGACACAUUUCAUGAUCCUUAUGGCGUUACUUCGGAAACUGCACAACCAACAUACUUAAGAAACUCAGCAGUUCCGUAAACCAAUUCUCUUUUCCAUAAAACAAAUAAGUAAUGUUGCACUGUCUGGGAAAGGUUGUUACUCAACACUGGAGUAAAUGUACUAACUUGUUACUUAACAAGUAAUAACUUCUUCUCGAUCUUCCAUUCUUAAUUUUUCUUCCGUUGGUUUUCAAUCCACAAGAUGAUACUCUUGGCAAACGUGCCAGACAUUAAUCUUACUGUAGUCUUCUCACCAAGUGCUUGAGCUAGAACAAACUUUACGAUCACCCUGAUCGUACAAUCAUGUUCAUUAAGCAAUUCAAUCCACCUUUGUUGCCUCAUAUUGAAAUCCUUCCGAGUAAACAAAUAUUGGAGACUCUUUUGAUUUGUAAAAUCUUGCAUUCUUAUCAACAUAGAAUGUCUCCAUAACUUCACAGCAAGAAUGGUAAUCAUGACUUCCAAGUCACCCGUAGGGUAAUUCAUCUUAUGAGAUUCCAUUUAUCGUGAAACGUAUGCAAUCACCCUAACAUUUGCAUCAACAUGCAUCCAAUACCAUUCAAGAAACAUCACUAAAAAUUUAUGAUUACCACUAUUCUCUGGGAAUACCAAAAUACGUGCAUGAGUGAGGAAAUACUUCAGUUGUUGAAUCCUUUGCUCACAAUUUCCUUCCCACUCAUACAUAACCUCUUUUCUCAACAGUCUCGUCAAUGACAAAGCAAUGACUGAAAAAUCUUUCACAACCAUCCAAGAUAGCCUGGUAAGCUAAGAAAUUCCGAAUCUCAAUUACAGUUCGUGGUUGUUCCAAUUCCUCAAUUUCUGCUAUCUUUUAAGGAUUCACUUGAAUACCUUAAGAAUAUAUAACAAAUCUCAGAAUGCCACCUGAUUCAUCUAACUUUAGCAUUUGCUACUUAGCAUACAACCGACAUUCUUCCAAUCUUUAUUCCACCGACUUAAUACGUUUACAUGCUCUGCUCUGGCUCAGAAUAUGCCAGAAUAUCUUCAAUGAAAAUGAUAUCUAUUUAUCAAGGCAUUAUUGGAAUACUUCAUCCAAUAACUCAUAAAACAGCAUGAGUAUCCAUAUAGCAUCACCAUAGUUCAUAAAACAAUCUUAAGAACAACGUCGCUCAUAAUCUUUAAAUUGGUAAUAACCAGACCUCAAUUCAAUCUUUGAAUCUUCGCAAUUACUUCUGAGCUGGUUAAAUAAACAUCAGUACAUCACCAUGGAUAACGGUUCUCAAUCGUUACCCGACUCCAUUGUCUAUAAUCAAUGAACAGUCUCAAGAUCCAUUUUCUUCCUCACCAACAAACUGGGGCUCCUCAAAAGUGUUGUACUAGGUUGAAUGAAACUUUUAUCAACCAAUUCUUUCAACUGAAUUUCCAAUUCCCUUAACUCAUCCUGAACCAAUCUCCAAUAUAAAUUUAUACCUGGCAACAAAUCAAUAAUGAACCUCAUAUCUCUGCCUGAAGGCAAUCCAGGUAUACUUUCAAGGAAGACAUCAAGAAAAGUCUAACUCUUUCGACAUUAUUCACACUACUCCAAACAACAUCAUUUAGCACCACAUGAGCUAAGUAUUUUUGACAGUCUUUCGAAAACAAUCUCUUUGCUCUCACAGCAUAAAUAACGGCCUGACUCAAUCCAUUUUGCAUACUUACAAAAGUAAUCUCUGUUCAUCCAGAUCGAUGGAAAGUACUGGUUUCCCAUAACAUUUCGUCUUGUCACAAUUAUAACCAACCAAUCUAAUGGAACAGAAUUAACUGAUACAAUAUAUAUUUUAUUAUUAUUAAGCAUUCCAAAUAAGUACAAUACUAACAUAAAAUAAUCUACCGGGUUGCUUGCUUAACGAAUCCACGAAUGAGUUAUUAAUAUUACGGUCUGCAGCCCGCAAUACUGAUAAAUCAUCGUUGUCUCGAUAAGUAGGCAACCACUCUCAAAGAUAUAACAUUACUAUUUUGUCACUCAAUGCAAAAUACAUACACUCUCAUCUCAACUACAUUUAUUUACUACUCUCAAGGUAAUAACAUACAUAAUAAGAAAUAUAUCAGCCGAAGUCAACUAGAAUGACCAAUACGGCUGAUUCAACUCUUAUCUCAAUAAUACGUCGGCCGGAUCCACUCCGCGUGGUCGGUACGGCCGAGCCUAUAACUCACAAAUUUCGCAUGUGUCAAUCGAAUCCACUUCUCGUGGCCUGUACGGCUGAACAUAUAACUCAUCAAAUCUCUCUGUACUCACGGUCAAUCCGACCAAACUACUAAGUCCAUAACUCUGCUGAAUCGACACUAUGAUAUCAUGGAAAAUUAUUGAGUACAACUGAUUCUAGGGACGAUUCACAAUUCUGUGUCCCCUCUGUUCACAUAAACACAUUCAUUAAUUUCACAUUUCCCAAAGUGUUAAUUUUGUACCUGCUGCACAAGGUACAUUUCUUUUACUCGAGACACCUUGUCUCAAAUAUCUGGGAUUACCAGUAUAUCCAUCACUUUUACUCUGACCAACGACACUAAAACCUCAGCUGGAAGAAUUAACUCUAGCUUCACUUCUUUCGAAGCUCUGAAUCCUUCGAUAUUCUUGAUAUGACGAAUCAUUAACUUUAUCGUCUUCUUUUAAUUCCCAUUCUUUUCUUAUUCCUCUUCACUCUAGCUGAUCAUAUUCUCAGAGUCCUCAAGACUCAACAGCAUCUCGUAUAUUCUUGGUAAGAAGUACAAUGGAUAGUGGUCACCCAAAAUACCACUUCCCUUUUUUGCCACCCAGCUUAAAACAACAUAACACCUCCACCAAAUUAACAACAAUAUCUGGAUGGAACGAGGCAAGUCUGAAAACUUUCUAUAAUAUCCCUCGAUCAUCACCUUCCUUGUCUCAUAUUUGUAAACUCUUGUUUACUACCAUCGAUAAAUGCCGGAGGGAUAAACUUUUCCUUUAAACAAGUCCUUAAACAAUUCUCAAUCGACUGAUUCCUCUGGUGACAACAAUUCAUACUCCUGUUUCCACCAGGAUACAAAUUCAUAACCAAAACCAGGUAGUCGUCUCGACCCCUUGUCAGAAGGAAGAUUCCUUUGACUUGCAUAUUCCGAAACAUCUUUUCCAAUUGGUUAAUCCGUCACUUUGUUCCCUCAGGUUCAUCAUUUCUCUUAAGUGAUUCAAAUUCAACUCAUAACCCGUCUUAAAAUGUCCAUUUUUCUAAUAUACUGAAUCACCAUAAGAAUAGUUUCCCCUAACCCGCUAAAUCAGGGAGACUAAGUUCCUCUAACUACGUGGUUUGCUACGAGGCGGUGUAGUUCUGACAGAAUUCACUAGAACUUCUCAAAAUGUCCAAGAUUGCAACCAUGCUCUGAUACCAACUGACACACCCCGUCCCGAAGGAGGGCAUGCUGGCCGUCACGUGAGAGUGACGUAACCAUUUGCACAGUACGGAAGCUUUAAUUAUACAAUUUAUAAGUUGAUACACCCGAAGGUGAGUCCUAAUUUUGUCCAAUCUGUCAGAACCCCGCUGUAUUCCUCGUAGUCACCACACCUUUGUGAUUCCUGAACCUGGAGGGGCGCAAAACCAAAAUUGAGUGGGUCAGUAAAACAAUUCUUUUCCAAAUCCAAACAUUUCUCAAAACGUUGUAACCCCUCUCUCCGUAAAACCUGUAUACUUUCCCAGAAAUGUAAAAUAUAAAUAUACAUAUAUAUUCUCAAAACUUCAUUUUUACUAUCUCAACAUUAUCUCUUUAUCAAUCAUGCCAUGCCAUGUCAUCUCAACAUUUCUCAUAUUAAUUAUGCCAUGCCACAUCAUCUCAACAGUAAUAAGGUAUGAAUGCAUCAACAUAAUCAUAUCAGGUGCAAGAAAGUAAUCAACCGUAGGCCUUCUAAUAGCCCUAUACGGUUGAACCUAGAGCUCAAAAUCUAUCAUUAUCACUCUACCGGAGUCACCUCUGUGACCCGUCCGGCCUUCUGCACACAAGUUACGCUCUAGUGCUUCUCAUAAAUCAUCUGUGCACAUAAUCUAAGGUCACCCACCAGUCGGAAUCUCACUAACACUCUCGCGACUGGUCUGUCGUACCCACUCCGCGUGGACUGUACGACUAGCAUCUACUUGGAUCCAAGGCGAGCGUGCGAUGCGGUGAAUACUAUAAGCACUAAACCAUGGUGCAGGAUUUGAGCUCAAUAUAUAUCAUCAUCAUCAUAACAGUAAUUAAAUACUCACCUGUGCGUCCACCGCACCAUUUCAUACAUAUGCAUCAUAAAUCAAUUCUUACCUGUGCGUCCACCGCACCAAUUCAUACAUAUGCAUCAUAUAUUAAUUCAUGCAUGGCAUUUCAACUCACAUUUCUAUAUACUUUUCAUAUCAAUUCUAUGCAUGGUAUUUCACUUCCCGUUUUUCCACAUAACUCAUAUGCAUUUCAUUUUAAACAUAAUUUCAUGCAUUUUCAAUUUCUGGGAAAACGUUAAGUAUAUAUAUAUAUAUACGGAAAACAAAACUGCCCACUCACCUGGAGUUCGUCCAACAACUCCCUAGCACCACACAUCAAGGCGUCACGACGAUCGCCGCCUAGAAUAGUAAUCAAAUCCAACCUCAGAAUUCAUAUCGAUAGAAUAUAUAACUUAUAUAAAAUACGUCACUAUGUAGUUCGAUCCGGAAGAUCUGCCACUCAGAUUUUAAAUCCAUAACUUCCAGAGGUCCACAAUAUAUCUCUAGGAUAACAUCCUAAAAUUUCAUUACCAUCCAACGGUCGGAUCUCCGUCAAUUUCCAAAACUAAGUGACGGUUAACAUUUUAUAUUAUGGACUUACAAUUCCAAUUCCGGAAGAUCCGUAACUCGAAUUCCCAAUCCGUAAGUUCCAAUAAUCCUCAAAUAUUACGUAUUACAACGUAUCAAAGUUUGGUGACGAUCCAACGGUCGGAUCAUCAAUUCACAUUUUCACCUAAAUGUGAAAACUAUAAAAACGUUAUUUGAACACCUAACCAACAAUCCUCAAUAACUUUCUCAUACGGUGUUCAAUUUAGGUAUAUGAAUAUACCACAGUGAUCUACUCGACGUCACGGACGUCGACAUAUUUUUAAAAUAAUUUUAUUUUUUAUUUUUUUAUUUUUACUGUAGCACCUUCUUCUUCCUUGGGUCGCCGGACUGGUUUUUCCGGCGGCCGUUUUCCGGGCAGUUUUUCAAAUUGCCAUAACUUUGUCAUUUCUCAACGAAAUCAAGUGAUUCAAAAACGAAAGUUGUAGCCCUUGAAGAGACAAAGAGAAUGGUACCUUUCACAACACCUAGUUCGCCGUGGUUUGGCCGGAAACUGCCUCGAAAGCCUCGGAGGUCGCCGGAAACUGGGUAUUUUUCAAAUGAGUAUAACUUCUUCAAUACUCCACGGAAUUGAGUGAAACAAAAAGGAAAGUUGUAGUACUUGACGAGACGAAGAGAUUGAUACCUAUUUCGACUCCUAACUCGCCGGUUAUUCGCCGGAAAACACCUCGAAAGCUCCGGCCAAACUUUGAACUUGUCGAUCUCCGUGUUCUUACGUCCAAAAAC